ensembl:misc_RNA Metazoa_SRP Metazoan signal recognition particle RNA
GCUGGGCAUGGUGGCUCAUGCCUGUAAUCCUAGCAGUUUGGGAGGCUUAGGCAGGGGGAUCGCUUGGGCCCAGGAGUUUGAGACCAGCCUGAGCAACAAAGUGAGCCCCUGUCUAUA